rnacentral:rRNA from 1 species
GGGUUGUGAGGUUAAGCGACUAAGCGUACACGGUGGAUGCCCUGGCAGUCAGAGGCGAUGAAGGACGUGCUAAUCUGCGAAAAGCGUCGGUAAGGUGAUAUGAACCGUUAUAACCGGCGAUGUCCGAAUGGGGAAACCCAGUGCAAUUCGUUGCACUAUCGUUAACUGAAUACAUAGGUUAACGAGGCGAACCGGGGGAACUGAAACAUCUAAGUACCCCGAGGAAAAGAAAUCAACCGAGAUUCCCCCAGUAGCGGCGAGCGAACGGGGAGCAGCCCAGAGUCUGAAUCAGCUUGUGUGUUAGUGGAACGGUCUGGAAAGUCCGACGGUACAGGGUGAUAGUCCCGUACACCAAAAUGCACAGGUUGUGAACUCGAAGAGUAGGGCGGGACACGUGGUAUCCUGUCUGAAUAUGGGGGGACCAUCCUCCAAGGCUAAAUACUCCUGACUGACCGAUAGUGAACCAGUACCGUGAGGGAAAGGCGAAAAGAACCCCGGCGAGGGGAGUGAAAAAGAACCUGAAACCGUGUACGUACAAGCAGUGGGAGCACCUUCGGGUGUGACUGCGUACCUUUUGUAUAAUGGGUCAGCGACUUAUAUUCUGUAGCAAGGUUAACCGUAUAGGGGAGCCGCAGGGAAACCGAGUCUUAACUGGGCGUUAAGUUGCAGGGUAUAGACCCGAAACCCGGUGAUCUAGCCAUGGGCAGGUUGAAGGUUGGGUAACACUAACUGGAGGACCGAACCGACUAAUGUUGAAAAAUUAGCGGAUGACUUGUGGCUGGGGGUGAAAGGCCAAUCAAACCGGGAGAUAGCUGGUUCUCCCCGAAAGCUAUUUAGGUAGCGCCUCGUGAAUUCAUCUUCGGGGGUAGAGCACUGUUUCGGCUAGGGGGUCAUCCCGACUUACCAACCCGAUGCAAACUACGAAUACCGAAGAAUGUUAUCACGGGAGACACACGGCGGGUGCUAACGUCCGUCGUGAAGAGGGAAACAACCCAGACCGCCAGCUAAGGUCCCAAAGUCAUGGUUAAGUGGGAAACGAUGUGGGAAGGCACAGACAGCCAGGAUGUUGGCUUAGAAGCAGCCAUCAUUUAAAGAAAGCGUAAUAGCUCACUGGUCGAGUCGGCCUGCGCGGAAGAUGUAACGGGGCUAAACCAUGCACCGAAGCUGCGGCAGCGACACUAUGUGUUGUUGGGUAGGGGAGCGUUCUGUAAGCCUGCGAAGGUGUGCUGUGAGGCAUGCUGGAGGUAUCAGAAGUGCGAAUGCUGACAUAAGUAACGAUAAAGCGGGUGAAAAGCCCGCUCGCCGGAAGACCAAGGGUUCCUGUCCAACGUUAAUCGGGGCAGGGUGAGUCGACCCCUAAGGCGAGGCCGAAAGGCGUAGUCGAUGGGAAACAGGUUAAUAUUCCUGUACUUGGUGUUACUGCGAAGGGGGGACGGAGAAGGCUAUGUUAGCCGGGCGACGGUUGUCCCGGUUUAAGCAUGUAGGCUGGUUAUCCAGGCAAAUCCGGAUAAUCAAGGCUGAGGUGUGAUGACGAGGCACUACGGUGCUGAAGUAACAAAUGCCCUGCUUCCAGGAAAAGCCUCUAAGCAUCAGGUAACAUUAAAUCGUACCCCAAACCGACACAGGUGGUCAGGUAGAGAAUACCAAGGCGCUUGAGAGAACUCGGGUGAAGGAACUAGGCAAAAUGGUGCCGUAACUUCGGGAGAAGGCACGCUGGUGUGUAGGUGAAGUCCCUGCGGAUGGAGCUGAGACCAGUCGAAGAUACCAGCUGGCUGCAACUGUUUAUUAAAAACACAGCACUGUGCAAACACGAAAGUGGACGUAUACGGUGUGACGCCUGCCCGGUGCCGGAAGGUUAAUUGAUGGGGUUAUCCGUAAGGAGAAGCUCUUGAUCGAAGCCCCGGUAAACGGCGGCCGUAACUAUAACGGUCCUAAGGUAGCGAAAUUCCUUGUCGGGUAAGUUCCGACCUGCACGAAUGGCGUAAUGAUGGCCAGGCUGUCUCCACCCGAGACUCAGUGAAAUUGAACUCGCUGUGAAGAUGCAGUGUACCCGCGGCAAGACGGAAAGACCCCGUGAACCUUUACUAUAGCUUGACACUGAACAUUGAGCCUUGAUGUGUAGGAUAGGUGGGAGGCUUUGAAGCGUGGACGCCAGUCUGCGUGGAGCCAACCUUGAAAUACCACCCUUUAAUGUUUGAUGUUCUAACGUUGGCCCCUUACCGGGGUUGCGGACAGUGUCUGGUGGGUAGUUUGACUGGGGCGGUCUCCUCCCAAAGCGUAACGGAGGAGCACGAAGGUUAGCUAAUCCUGGUCGGACAUCAGGAGGUUAGUGCAAUGGCAUAAGCUAGCUUGACUGCGAGCGUGACGGCGCGAGCAGGUGCGAAAGCAGGUCAUAGUGAUCCGGUGGUUCUGAAUGGAAGGGCCAUCGCUCAACGGAUAAAAGGUACUCCGGGGAUAACAGGCUGAUACCGCCCAAGAGUUCAUAUCGACGGCGGUGUUUGGCACCUCGAUGUCGGCUCAUCACAUCCUGGGGCUGAAGUAGGUCCCAAGGGUAUGGCUGUUCGCCAUUUAAAGUGGUACGCGAGCUGGGUUUAGAACGUCGUGAGACAGUUCGGUCCCUAUCUGCCGUGGGCGCUGGAGAAUUGAGGGGGGCUGCUCCUAGUACGAGAGGACCGGAGUGGACGCAUCACUGGUGUUCGGGUUGUCAUGCCAAUGGCACUGCCCGGUAGCUAAAUGCGGAAGAGAUAAGUGCUGAAAGCAUCUAAGCACGAAACUUGCCCCGAGAUGAGUUCUCCCUGAGACUUUAAGUCUCCUGAAGGAACGUUGAAGACGACGACGUUGAUAGGCCGGGUGUGUAAGCGCAGCGAUGCGUUGAGCUAACCGGUACUAAUGAACCGUGAGGCUUAACCUUACAACGCCGAAG